CAAAUCAAUCUUCCUGAGAGCCAGCAGGUUACUGACCAGCUCCUCGUUGGUGAGACACUAAACGGCGAGGGAAAUGCAACUCUUCUCUGUGGACGUAAUGUGUGUGAUCACACCUCUUGAAGAAACCAUUUGCUAAUUAAUUUGUGCCUAGAAAUCACCUGCAUCAGAAUAAAGAGAUAUAAAGACUGCCAGUGCUUAAAUGAGACCUCAGCUCUGAUCUCAGAUUUGGUGUUUGUGCCUGACAGGGACUGAGGAAAGAUCUGGAAACUAAAUCCCAGGGGAUAAGUGAAGAGUGAAGAAAAAGUAAACAGCUUCAAGCAAAUCUAUUAAAACCCCCAGGACAAAGGGAGGAAGACAAAGGCUUCUGUGAUUGUAACCCCAGCAACCAAGGGCAGAAGGAUUCAUUCUUGGCUUCCUACUUCUGGGCGGGAUCCAUCUUCAGCAUCUCCAGGAUACUCCAUAGCCACAAGUGAGGGGCUUCUCCUGCUUCUUUAUAUUCAUCUAACUGCCUCUGAAGUAAGGUCAAGACCUGGAAUGUGUCUUCUGGAAGGAACACCUAAAGAAUCUGACUAAGGGACUGUAACAGAGACAACAGGGAUGCCUGCACAGAGGAAACACCAUGUGACGAUGUGACAGACAGGCACCCAUCAGCAAGCCCAGUGGAGAGGCCUCAGGAGGAGCCAAACCUGCCGACUGACACCUUGAUCUUGGAUUGCCAGCCUCCAGAAUUAUGAGCAAAUAAAUUUCUGUUAUUUAAGCUUCUCAGUCUGUGGUACUUUAUUGUGGCAGCUCUAGCAAAGGAUUAUAAUCUUCUAUAAAUGUGUGUGGAAAGCCAGGUCAGGGAGUAAGAUGGGUUCAUCGAUGCCUCCUCAUCAUCUGACUAGAAUCUGGCCCGGAGAAGGUGCACGGGAAGGGUUUGUGGAGUUGACAUGAGUAAACACACACUGUUUUGAUCGUGUCAGAGGCAGAGCAGCUGGCUGCCAGCCUGGCACUUUCUGGCUUCC
rnacentral:lncRNA from 1 species